rnacentral:rRNA from 1 species
UACGAAGGGUGCUAGCGUUGCUCGGAAUCACUGGGCGUAAAGCGCCCGUAGGCGGGUCUUUAAGUCGGGGGUGAAAGCCCAGGGCUCAACCCUGGAAUUGCCUUCGAUACUGUUUGGCUAGAGACCGGAAGAGGUAAGUGGAACUGCGAGUGUAGAGGUGAAAUUCGUAGAUAUUCGCAAGAACACCAGUGGCGAAGGCGGCUUACUGGUCCGGUUCUGACGCUGAGGCGCGAAAGCGGGGGGAGCAAACAGG